GAUGGACGCUGGCGGCGUGCCUAAUACAUGCAAGUCGAGCGAACAGACGAGGAGCUUGCUCCUCUGACGUUAGCGGCGGACGGGUGAGUAACACGUGGAUAACCUACCUAUAAGACUGGGAUAACUUCGGGAAACCGGAGCUAAUACCGGAUAAUAUAUUGAACCGCAUGGUUCAAUAGUGAAAGACGGUUUUGCUGUCACUUAUAGAUGGAUCCGCGCCGCAUUAGCUAGUUGGUAAGGUAACGGCUUACCAAGGCAACGAUGCGUAGCCGACCUGAGAGGGUGAUCGGCCACACUGGAACUGAGACACGGUCCAGACUCCUACGGGAGGCAGCAGUAGGGAAUCUUCCGCAAUGGGCGAAAGCCUGACGGAGCAACGCCGCGUGUGUGAUGAAGGUCUACGGAUCGUAAAACUCUGUUAUUAGGGAAGAACAAAUGUGUAAGUAACUAUGCACGUCUUGACGGUACCUAAUCAGAAAGCCACGGCUAACUACGUG
rnacentral:rRNA from 1 species